UACGAAGGGGGCUAGCGUUGCUCGGAAUCACUGGGCGUAAAGCGCACGUAGGCGGAUCUUUAAGUCAGGGGUGAAAUCCUGGAGCUCAACUCCAGAACUGCCUUUGAUACUGGGGAUCUCGAGUCCGGAAGAGGUAAGUGGAACUCCGAGUGUAGAGGUGAAAUUCGUAGAUAUUCGCAAGAACACCAGUGGCGAAGGCGGCUCACUGGCCCGAUACUGACGCUGAGGCACGAAAGCGUGGGGAGCAAACAGG
rnacentral:rRNA from 1 species